rnacentral:rRNA from 1 species
CUUAACACAUGCAAGUCGAACGAUGAAGCCCACUUGUGGGUGGAUUAGUGGCGAACGGGUGAGUAACACGUGAGUAACCUGCCCUUGACUCUGGGAUAAGCCUGGGAAACUGGGUCUAAUACCGGAUAUGACUCCUCAUCGCAUGGUGGGGGGUGGAAAGCUUUUUGUGGUUUUGGAUGGACUCGCGGCCUAUCAGCUUGUUGGUGAGGUAAUGGCUUACCAAGGCGACGACGGGUAGCCGGCCUGAGAGGGUGACCGGCCACACUGGGACUGAGACACGGCCCAGACUCCUACGGGAGGCAGCAGUGGGGAAUAUUGCACAAUGGGCGCAAGCCUGAUGCAGCGACGCCGCGUGAGGGAUGACGGCCUUCGGGUUGUAAACCUCUUUCAGUAGGGAAGAAGCCUUUCGGGGUGACGGUACCUGCAGAAGAAGCGCCGGCUAACUACGUGCCAGCAGCCGCGGUAAUACGUAGGGCGCAAGCGUUAUCCGGAAUUAUUGGGCGUAAAGAGCUCGUAGGCGGUUUGUCGCGUCUGCCGUGAAAGUCCGGGGCUCAACUCCGGAUCUGCGGUGGGUACGGGCAGACUAGAGUGAUGUAGGGGAGACUGGAAUUCCUGGUGUAGCGGUGAAAUGCGCAGAUAUCAGGAGGAACACCGAUGGCGAAGGCAGGUCUCUGGGCAUUAACUGACGCUGAGGAGCGAAAGCAUGGGGAGCGAACAGGAUUAGAUACCCUGGUAGUCCAUGCCGUAAACGUUGGGCACUAGGUGUGGGGGACAUUCCACGUUUUCCGCGCCGUAGCUAACGCAUUAAGUGCCCCGCCUGGGGAGUACGGCCGCAAGGCUAAAACUCAAAGGAAUUGACGGGGGCCCGCACAAGCGGCGGAGCAUGCGGAUUAAUUCGAUGCAACGCGAAGAACCUUACCAAGGCUUGACAUGAACCGGACCGCUGCAGAGAUGUGGUUUCCCCUUUGGGGCUGGUUUACAGGUGGUGC